CAUAAUUUCUUGAAAAGAAAAAUUGAUGAGAUUGAGAAAUCUAUUAAAACUGAACCUCCAGCAACUCUAAUUCAUGUUAAAAAUCAAACCAAAUCAUUAUCUGAUGAAAUGAAGAGCCUACACAAUUCAGUAUCUCAGGAGGUGAAAGACCUACACAAUUCAGUAUCUCAGGAGGUUAAGGACCUACGCAAUUCAAUGGAUCAGUUGUUAGCUAUUGUUAACAGUAUGAAUGAAAGAGUAGGAGGA